rnacentral:tRNA from 4 species
GCCCGGGUGGUGAAAUGGCAGACACGCCAGUUUCAGGUACUGGUGCUCGCAAGGGCGUGGGGGUUCAAGUCCCCCCCCGGGCA